UACGUAGGGGCUAGCGUUAUCCGGAUUUACUGGGCGUAAAGGGCGUGUAGGCGGCCGAUUAAGUCUGGAGUGAAAGUCCUGCUUUCAAGGUGGGAAUUGCUUCGGAUACUGGUUGGCUUGAGUGCGGAAGAGGUAAGUGGAAUUCCCAGUGUAGCGGUGAAAUGCGUAGAGAUUGGGAGGAACACCAGUGGCGAAGGCGACUUACUGGGCCGUAACUGACGCUGAGGCGCGAAAGCGUGGGGAGCGAACAGGAUUAGAUACCCUGGUAGUCCCUGAG
rnacentral:rRNA from 1 species